GACAGAGGGUGCGAGCGUUAAUCGGAAUUACUGGGCGUAAAGCGUGCGUAGGCGGUUAUUUAAGUCGGGUGUGAAAGCCCCGGGCUCAACCUGGGAAUUGCAUUCGAGACUGAAUAGCUAGGGUACGGUAGAGGGAAGCGGAAUUUCCGGUGUAGCGGUGAAAUGCAUAGAUAUCGGAAGGAACAUCAGUGGCGAAAGCGGCUUCCUGGACCAGUACCGACGUUCAGGCACGAAAGCGUGGGGAGCAAACAGG
rnacentral:rRNA from 1 species